rnacentral:rRNA from 1 species
GUGGGGAAUAUUGCACAAUGGGGGAAACCCUGAUGCAGCGACGCCGCGUGAGUGAAGAAGUAUUUCGGUACGUAAAGCUCUAUCAGCAAGGAAGAAAAUGACGGUACUUGACUAAGAAGCACCGGCUAACUACGUGCCAGCAGCCGCGGUAAUACGUAGGGGGCAAGCGUUAUCCGGAUUUACUGGGUGUAAAGGGAGCGUAGACGGGAUGGUAAGUCAGAUUUGAAAGCCCGGGGCUCAACCCCGGGACUGCAUUUGAAACUAUCAGACUAGAGUGCAGGAGAGGUAAGUGGAAUUCCUAGUGUAGCGGUGAAAUGCGUAGAUAUUAGGAGGAACACCAGUGGCGAAGGCGGCUUACUGGACGGUGUCUGACACUGAGGCGCGAAAGCUAGGGGAGCGAACGGGAUUAGAUACCCCUGUAGUCC